rnacentral:rRNA from 1 species
GAAUUACAUCGGAAUUUGCCCAGUCGUGGGGGAUAACGUAGGGAAACUUACGCUAAUACCGCAUACGACGGUGACGUGAAAGCGGGGGAUCAGCAAUGACUCGCGCGGAUGGAUAAGCCGAUGUCGGAUUAGCUAGUUGGCGGGGUAAGAGCCCACCAAGGCGACGAUCCGUAACUUGGUCUCGAGAGGAUGAUCAGCACACUGGGGACUGAGACACGGGCCCAGAAUCCUACGGGAGGCAAGCAGUGGGGAAUAUUGGACCAAUGGGGGCAACCUGAUCCAGCAAUGCCGCGUGUGUGAAGAAGGCCUUCGGGUUGUAAAGCACUUUUAUCCGGAACGAAACGCGCAGGGCGAAUACCCUUGCGAACUGACGGUACCGGAGGAAUAAGCACCGGCUAACUUCGUGCCAGCAGCCGCGGUAAUACGAAGGGUGCAAGCGUUACUCGGAAUUACUGGGCGUAAAGGGUGCGUAGUGGUUU